CCUACGGGGGGCUGCAGUGGGGAAUAUUGCACAAUGGGGGAAACCCUGAUGCAGCGACGCCGCGUGAGUGAAGAAGUAAUUCGUUAUGUAAAGCUCCAUCAGCAGGGAAGAAAAUGACGGUACCUGUGUAAGAAGCCCCGGCUAACUACGUGCCAGCAGCCGCGGUAAUACGUAGGGGGCAAGCGUUAUCCGGAUUUACUGGGUGUAAAGGGAGCGUAGACGGCAGUGCAAGUCUGGAGUGAAAGUCGGGGGCUCAACCCCCGGACUGCUCUGGAUACUGUACGGCUGGAGUGCAGGAGAGGUAAGUGGAAUUCCUGGUGUAGCGGUGAAAUGCGUAGAUAUUAGGAGGAACACCAGUGGCGAAGGCGGCUUACUGGACUGUAACUGACGUUGAGGCUCGAAAGCGUGGGGAGCAAACAGGAUUAGAUACCCCAGUAGUC
rnacentral:rRNA from 1 species